rnacentral:rRNA from 1 species
UACGUAGGCAGCAAGCGUUGUUCGGAAUUACUGGGCGUAAAGAGUGUGUAGGCGGUGCUCCAAGUCUGGUGUGAAAUCUCCCGGCUCAACUGGGAGGGUGCGCUAGAAACUGGAAUGCUAGAGGAUGGGAGAGGUAAGCGGAAUUCCUGGUGUAGCGGUGAAAUGCGUAGAUAUCAGGAGGAACACCUGUAGGUGUAGACAGCUUACUGGACCUUUCUGACGCUGAGACACGAAAGCGUGGGUAGCAAACAGG